GCCCAGAUCGUCUAGUUGGUUAGGAUGAUACGUUGUGGUCUCGUUACUCACCGUGAUCCGUGUUGACGGCGGUUCGAAUCCGCCUCUGGGCA
rfam:Colletotrichum orbiculare MAFF 240422 contig05278, whole genome shotgun sequence.